UACGGGGGGGCAAGCGUUGUUCGGAAUUACUGGGCGUAAAGGGCUCGUAGGCGGCCAACUAAGUCGGACGUGAAAUCCCUCGGCUUAACCGGGGAACUGCUUCCGAUACUGGAUGGCUUGAGUGUGGGAGAGGGAUGCGGAAUUCCAGGUGUAGCGGUGAAAUGCGUAGAUAUCUGGAGGAACACCGGUGGCGAAGGCGGCAUCCUGGACCAUUACUGACGCUGAGUGAGCGAAAGCCAGGGGAGCAAACGGG
rnacentral:rRNA from 1 species